rnacentral:rRNA from 1 species
GAAGACAGCGAGUGGGAUCCAAAGUACCGCGAGACACGAGAAACCUUGCGGGAAGUCGGGGGGACCACCCCCCAAGGCUAAAUACUACUUAGUGACCGAUAGUGCAUAGUACUGUGAAGGAAAGGUGAAAAGAACCCCGGGAGGGGAGUGAAAGAGAACCUGAAACCCUGUGUUUACAAGCUGUGGAACACCCAUAUGUGGUGAACCGCGUACUUUUUGUAGAACGGUCCGGCGAGUUACUUUUGCAGGCAAGGUUAAGGUCAGAAAGACCGGAGCCGAAGGGAAACCAAGCGUUAAUAGCGCGUAAAGUCUGUAAGAGUAUACCCGAAACCGGGUGAUCUAUCCAUGUCCAGGUUGAAGCCGCCGUAAAAGGUGGUGGAGGACCGAACACACAUCCGUUGAAAAGGGUGGUGAUGAGGUGUGGAUAGGGGAGAAAUUCCAAUCGAACCCGGAGAUAGCUGGUUCUCCUCGAAAUAGCUUUAGGGCUAGCCUCGAUAUAGAUUAACGGAGGUAGAGCACUGAAUUGCCUAGGGGGCGUCAAAGCUUACCGAAGCAUAUCAAACUCCGAAUGCCGUAUAAUUGUUUAUCGGGAGUCAGACUACACGAGAUAAGUUGGGUAGUCAAAAGGGAAAGAGCCCAGACCACCAGCUAAGGUCCCAAAGUGCGUGUUAAGUGGAAAAGGAUGUGGGAUUUCAGAGACAACUAGGAUGUUGGCUUAGAAGCAGCCAUACAUUCAAAGAGUGCGUAAUAGCUCACUAGUCGAGAGAUCCUGCGCCGAAAAUGUCCGGGGCUAAAACACGACACCGAAGCUGUGGAAUUACACUAGUUGUAAUUGGUAGAGGAGCAUUCUUAAAACGACGAAGCGAUACCGUAAGGAGUCGUGGAGAUUUAAGAAGAGAGAAUGCCGGAAUGAGUAGCGAGAUAGAAGUGAGAAUCUUCUAGGCCGAAUAUCCAAGGUUUCCGGGGUAAAGCUGAUCUGCCCCGGGUAAGUCGGGGCCUAAGGCGAGGCUGA